AUCUGUAGACCUAUAGUGAAAGUCGAAGGACGCAAGCCAGUGCGCCCACGACGCUCGAACUGUGUGCAUGUGUCGACAUUAAAUAAUAAAAAAAAAAAAUUCGCGCGGUAAAUUUUUUGACGUUUGACAACUGUUUUUCGAAAACGAACUAACUGAUUUAAGUUAAGUUUAUAAAACAACUUAAAUGCAGUGUCAGUGUUUACUCGACUCGAUAUGUUUAUGAAAAAUGUGAGUGCUCCCACGACGCUCGCAC